UGCGAAGGGUGCAAGCGUUACUCGGAAUUACUGGGCGUAAAGCGUGCGUAGGCGGUUUGUUAAGUCCGUUGUGAAAGCCCUGGGCUCAACCUGGGAAUUGCAGUGGAUACUGGCGAGCUAGAGUGCGGUAGAGGAUGGUGGAAUUCCCGGUGUAGCGGUGAAAUGCGUAGAGAUCGGGAGGAACACCCGUGGCGAAGGCGGCCAUCUGGACCAGCACUGACGCUGAGGCACGAAAGCGUGGGGAGCAAACAGG
rnacentral:rRNA from 1 species